AGACCUAUGAAGGUCGAAGGGGAAGAAAAGCUGUAUCGAUUGUUGAGAUCUGGCGACUUGUUUAAAUUUCAUCAGCCUCACUUCUAUGAACUCUCAGGGUCCUCGUAAGAACUUCCAUUUUAUGUUCUUGUCUUCUCAUCAGUUUGAGUUGUGUCUUUAACAUUGGAGAGAAAAACAACUUGCAAGAUUUUCUUUCAGUAUGAACCAUUCUGAGGUCCUUCAAUUCUUUAGCUGAUUACCAACUCCUACCACUGUUAACCCUCAUCCAGGAACAAGCUUAUGUCUUUAACAUUCUGAGUGGGCUUCAGCAUCCUUGCAUAUGUUCAAUUCUUAAAAACCUGUUGAAAUAAAAGAUCAGGAGACAUAGGAAGGAUGCCAGAAGAGAGCGUGGCCUCACGUGUACCAGCUCUCUGCUCUCCUUUGCCUUGGGACGUUCCAUCCCUGGAAGUUUCCCUGCCCACAUCUUUGUAGAGAGUCCAUUCUCCAAGCUUCAGUGUGUCAUCUGUGAGGACCGUGACCCACCUGGUACAUCGCCUCAGGGCAUUCAUUUCAGGCUCCUUCUAAAUGGCCAAGUUUUCAAGAUUGUUUUGGCUCUAGCAAAACAAGUUGGAACAUUCACAUCAUCCAAGACAACACCAACAUUUUUGUAAUGGCCUGCAAGGCCUUCCGAGAUCUACCUCCUGCAACUCAGCUUCUCCUGUGCUCUCCUUCUGGACUCACUCUGCCUCAGCAACACUGGUCCCUGUUGCCCCACCAAUAUGCCAGCUGCACUGAUGAGGAAACUGAAACAGAAAAUCCAGAGUAAAUUCCACCAGGCCACACAGCAAGGUCUGAUAGAGCCAGGAGAGACUUUAUGAAAUCCAGACUCUCACACUAAUGCUCUAUCAGCUAGACCUCCAUGUGAGUCUCCCCAAUGUAGGUAGGAAGUGCUUUCCCUAAAAUGCUCAUAAAGCAAAUCAGAGCAAUGCUGCAUUCCAUGUGAUUUCUAAUUUGAAAUGCAAACAAUUGCCAAUUUGUUUGACUUGUAUUUAUAAUUAUUUCCUUGUGAAUUACUCAUCACUAAAUGCUUUAUAAAUAUUUUCUCUUUUUUUCCUCAAUGUCUAUGGAAUGAUCACAGCAUAGAAAAUGUUGGCUUUCAAGGAUUUAUUAAUAUCUCCUUUUGAAAUAACAUGUAUUUGUAAGACAGAAUAAAAUCACUUUAAAGAAACAAAUCUUGAAU
rnacentral:lncRNA from 1 species